AGUGAACGCUGGCGGUAGGCCUAACACAUGCAAGUCGAACGGCAGCACAGUAAGAGCUUGCUCUUACGGGUGGCGAGUGGCGGACGGGUGAGGAAUACAUCGGAAUCUACUUUUUCGUGGGGGAUAACGUAGGGAAACUUACGCUAAUACCGCAUACGACCUACGGGUGAAAGCAGGGGAUCUUCGGACCUUGCGCGAUUGAAUGAGCCGAUGUCGGAUUAGCUAGUUGGCGGGGUAAAGGCCCACCAAGGCGACGAUCCGUAGCUGGUCUGAGAGGAUGAUCAGCCACACUGGAACUGAGACACGGUCCAGACUCCUACGGGAGGCAGCAGUGUGGAAUAGUGGACAAUGGGCGCAAGCCUGAUCCAGCCAUACCGCGUGGGUGAAGAAGGCCUUCGGGUUGUAAAGCCCUUUUGUUGGGAAAGAAAAGCAGCAGGUUAAUACCCCGCUGUUCUGACGGUACCCAAAGAAUAAGCACCGGCUAACUUCGUG
rnacentral:rRNA from 1 species